rnacentral:rRNA from 1 species
AUGGCACCGUCUGGCUCGAACCCGCUGGGGCCAGUGUUCCAGACCGUCGCCGCCUUCUCCCGCCGCCUCCUCAUCGCCCCCGACACCGCACCCGACGACCACCGCCUCCGCCCCCUCCUCUCCCUCUCCCUCUCCCCGCCCGCGCCCCUGCCCCCGGCCCCGCCCCCGCCGCCGGAGGUCCUCAAGCAGAUGGAUACGAAGGUGGCGCCCCUGACGAAGGAGGAGGUUGGCCGGGCCACGUGGAUGCUGCUCCACACCAUCGCCGCACAGUUUCCUGAUGAACCAACCAGGCAGCAGAAACGCGAUGCGAAAGAGCUGAUGGCUUUACUUUCUAGAAUUUAUCCUUGCAAAGAGUGCGCUGAUCACUUCAAGGAAGUUUUGAAAGCAAAUCCUGUGCAGGCAGGAUCCCAGGCUGAGUUCUCUCAGUGGUUAUGCUAUGUGCACAAUGUGGUUAAUCGAAGCCUUGGAAAAACAAUAUUUCCCUGCCAGAGAGUAAAUGCACGGUGGGGCAAGCUGGAUUGCCCGGAUCGCGCGUGCGACCUAGAAGGCUCGAACGACAUCGUGCCGAACCGAUGA